rnacentral:rRNA from 1 species
ACGAACGCUGGCGGCUGCUUAACACAUGCAAGUCGAACGGAGUGGCGAACGGGUGAGUAACGCGUGAGCAACCUGCCUAUGACAGUGGGAUAGCCUCGGGAAACCGGGAUUAAUACCGCAUAGUCAUAGAUGGGCUCGCGUAGGAUUAGCGAGUUGGUGAGAUAACAGCCCACCAAGGCGACGAUCAGUAGCCGGUCUGAGAGGAUGAACGGCCACAUUGGAACUGAGACACGGUCCAAACUCCUACGGGAGGCAGCAGUGGGGAAUAUUGCACAAGGGGGGAAACCCUGAUGCAGCGACGCCGCGUGAACGAAGAAGGUAUUCGUAUCGUAAAGUUCUGUCCUAUGGGAAGCGGUACCGGAAUAGAAAGCCACGGCUAACUACGUGCCAGCAGCCGCGGUAAUAC